AUGACUCAGAAACCGGCUCUUCGGGGUUGUAACAUUAGAUGAUACACCGCUUAGGCCAGGGGCAGUAAACCAAUGCCUUUAUUUCACUGGGUUGGGCUUCCUAGGUGUGUUGCUGCCCGUGUUCCUGGGUAAGCACACACAGGUGUGGGAAGAAAGAGCUUGCCACCAGCUUGGACUUCUAGGGACCUUUCUGUGGGCUGGAAAGGAUUUUAGUGUUAAUCUGAAGUUCCUUUGGAAGAGUCGAGAAAUUGUCCAGGUGAAGGAAAGCCUGUGAAGAACCAGCAUGGGAAUCCUAUACUCUGAGCCCAUCUGUCAGGCAGCCUAUCAGAACGACUUUGCUCAAGUGUGGCGGUGGGUGAAAGAAGACAACAACUACGUCAAUGUUCAAGAUGGCUUUAACGGAGACACGCCCCUGAUCUGUGCUUGCAGACGUGGGAACAUGAGAAUUGUUUCCUUCCUUUUAAGGAGAAAUGCUAAUGUCAACCUCAAAAACCAGAAGGAGAGAACCUGCUUGCAUUAUGCUGUGAGGAAAAGGUUUACCUUCUUCGAUUAUCUGCUCAUUGUCCUCCUAAUGCCUGUCUUGCUUAUUGGGUAUUUCCUCAUGGUAUCAAAGACAAAGCAGAAUGAGGCUCUUGUACGAAUGUUACUAGAUGCUGGCAUCGAAGUCAAUGCGACAGACUGUUAUGGCUGCACCGCAUUACACUACGCCUGCGAGAUGAAAAACCAGACUCUUAUCCCUCUGCUCCUAGAAGCCCACGCAGACCCCUUGAUAAAGAAUAAGCAUGGUGAGAGCUCAUUGGAUAUUGCACGAAGAUUAAAAUUUUCCCAGAUUGAAUUCAUGCUAAGGAAAACAUCUUAAUCCUUGAGAUCCAACAGUUGGUAUAGACAACGUCAACAGACUGGAUUCUAUCUCUGUUUUAGACCAUUGGUCUGUGGACAUUUGAUUUGGAAUGCCAACAUGCUGCCAUGGUUGAUGUUUUUAAAGAGCUUUUUAUUUAUUAUGUUUUCUGCUCAAUGGACUUCACCAUGGCCAUAACGCUGACGGGAAUAUUAAAGUUGCUGAAGUCUCUACUUCAGUCAAAAACUGAUUUUUUUUCAACCACUUUCUUCUGAAGAAGAGGAUCAGAGCUGUCUGAGAUGACAUCCUCUCUUGUUAGAGUGUCACCCACAAAGAGAUGGUCUCAUCUAUUUCCUGACCUAAAGGGACAAACUGCUCUUCUCAGGCUUCAUCGAAUAUUGAGAGGAAGAAUCAAAGAUUUAUCCCAAGAGGAGAGCCCAGAAUCCUUCUGCAUAUGAAUCUGCAUCUCACAGCAUGCUUCCGGGAGCCCACCGAUGGCACUCAUCAACUGGCAGCUAUGCCUAGGUCAAAUGAAAC